UACAGAGGGGGCAAGCGUUAUUCGGAAUUAUUGGGCGUAAAGGGUGCGUAGGCGGCCGCGCAAGUCGGAUGUGAAAUCUCAGGGCUCAACCCUGAAACUGCAUUCGAUACUGCGUGGCUAGAGUGCUGGAGAGGAGACUGGAAUUUACGGUGUAGCAGUGAAAUGCGUAGAUAUCGUAAGGAAGACCAGUGGCGAAGGCGAGUCUCUGGACAGCAACUGACGCUGAGGCACGAAGGCCAGGGGAGCAAACGGG
rnacentral:rRNA from 1 species